rnacentral:rRNA from 1 species
UACGUAGGGUGCGAGCGUUGUCCGGAAUUACUGGGCGUAAAGAGCGUGUAGGCGGUUCGGUAAGUCUGUCGUGAAAUCCCCCGGGCUUAACCUGGGAACUGCGCUUGUAACUGGCAAGCUUGAGUGUGGCAGAGGGGGGGUGGGAAUUCCACGUGUAGCAGUGAAAUGCGUAGAGAUGUGGAGGAACACCGAUGGCGAAGGCAGCCCCCUGGGCUAACACUGACGCUCAUGCACGAAAGCGUGGGGAGCAAACAGG